rnacentral:rRNA from 1 species
UACGAAGGGUGCGAGCGUUAAUCGGAAUUACUGGGCGUAAAGCGUGCGCAGGCGGCUUUGCAAGACAGGCGUGAAAUCCCCGGGCUUAACCUGGGAAUGGCGCUUGUGACUGCAAAGCUGGAGUGCGGCAGAGGGGGAUGGAAUUCCGCGUGUAGCAGUGAAAUGCGUAGAUAUGCGGAGGAACACCGAUGGCGAAGGCAAUCCCCUGGGCCUGUACUGACGCUCAUGCACGAAAGCGUGGGGAGCAAACAGG